AGGUUUAUGAUCGUAACAAUAGGUUGAGUUAAAAUUUAACGAAUUUUAUUGUUCGUUCACAAACAC